CUUUUCUUCCAAAGAAGUCGUCAUAUGAGCUAUAUACAUAAGGCAAAGGCUACAGCCCAGCUAUCUGUUUCGAAGGCCUUGAAGCUCAUAAGUCCAAUGGAUAAUUUAAUUUGACGAUCAUGUAGUAAAGAUUGCGAAGCCCUUCAAUUGGUUUACUUUAAUUGUGUGAAUCCAUGACAGACUGAAGAAAGAAACGCCGGUGGUAAAAGCUAGCUCGCUACCCCUUCAAAAUUGCAGUUCCCAAGAGACCUGGAUUGCGACAGUAAUUAAAGAGAGGGACUUUUCAAGCUUCGACCUUUUGCUUUUUAUAACCAUUUGGCAUUUCCUUUAUUAUAUUAGCACUUGCUGCCACCUUCUUUAAAUUUGCUCUCACAUUUACAUUUUUAUAUAAUUUUUCCCCUAGCAUUGGUCUCCAACGUUUGAAUUCUUGGUCCGGAUACACACUCCCCUACUCUCUCUCUCUCUCUCUCUCUCUCUCUCUCCGUGGAUUCAGCAGAAAUGGGCAUUCAAUGGCCACAGCAGAUAUGGAAAUUUUCAGUUCAUACCUGAUUUUCUUCAUUAUUCUGCAUAAUACAAAGCACUCAUGGCAGCCAGAGCCACGGAUUUUGCUGUUUUGAUGAUCUGGGUCUUUUCUUCUCUAUUGGUUCAGUUCAGAUCAGAUCUGAAGCUUUCAAUAUAAAAGCUUAGUUUAACCACGACCGUCUGAUUAGAGAUUCCUGAUUCUUCAUUCAUCUCUGCGCGCCUUGGACUAGGAGCUGCCCUUCUACUUCUUCAUCAGGUCUCUCGCACUCUCUCUCUCUCUCUCUCUCUUCCUUGAAAAAUCCAUUGCUCCUUUCUCUGAUCACUGACAUUUUGCUGGGACAUUCUGUCUCUUCCUGUUAUCUAUCAUGAUCGUCUCGAACCCUGGAUCUUCAAACCAAACACUUUUAUACUGCGGAGGUGCAUUGCUGAUGAUGCACCCUACUUCCGUGACCGUACACGUGGCCCAUUUGCAUCAUUAAUGAGUUCUGAUACAGCUUUUUUUUUUUAAUUUUUUAAAUUACGCACCGAAUAUCCACGUGUUCAUUUUACGAUUCACAUGAUUAAUCCUGUCCCCCUUAAAGUUGACCUGACAACUUCAAAAGAAAAGUAAAUUCAGGAGUCUAGGGCGAAAAUGAAUCCGGAAGAAUUUGAAUACCUAAUCUCGGGAAAAACACUCCUGAAAUCCCUACUACCACUUGAACCUGGGGUUUCUAAUGCAGCUUUCUUGAUCUCCAACGAACGGGUGAAGAAAGUAGACAAUCAUCUGCAGGGGCCUCUCCCCCUCAAUGACCAAACUGCCCAUCUAUUAAUCCAACAUCAUCAUAGGGCAACAUCGUCCUUUUCCUCAAAUUUUGGUGACGGUUCUGCCCCUACUGCCACAUUGGUUGGCCACAUUUGAUGGCCAAUCCAAGUAAAUUGCAGAACCCAUUAAAGAGCGAAAGCUCCCAUCAACCGUGUGUGGGGCACCACGUAAAAUCCGGGGUACUGCUUUUCAUGUUUUCACCCAAACCCAAGUAAUUCAAAUGACCAAAAAUACCCCUACUGGGUCCUCGAAAUUGGAUGAACCCCACCUUUUGGAUGGGGCCCUGGCUAGGAGUUAGAAUAGACCAGAAUGGUCAAACCAUGAGCCAAAAGAGGGGUAUAGGGCCUGCCUAGUGUCCACAAAAGAAUGUUAGAGCAAGAGCUUUAAUGCGCAGUGUUAGAGAGGGAGGGAGAAGGUGGCAGUCUCGAUGGAAAACCUCGGCAAGGGUGCCUGUCUAGUCAGGUGAGGUUGAAGAACGUAUAGGUAAAAAUUAAAAUUAAAUGGAAAUGGGUCCCCAAGGCAGAGAUCGUGGUUGGUUUAUGGUGAAUUAGGGAGGGGCAUAAGUACGAAAUUUCCAGUGUACUAGAGGGGCGAAGUAGUAAUUCAUGAGAAAAGGAAACGGGGUUGCUGGCGCAAAUCUAGCUAGUGGGAGGGCUGCCGGAGCAACUGAGGGGAUAUGAGGGUUUGGGGCCUCGCCUGCUGGUGGGGGCUGGGGUUGAAUUGAAUGCCAAAUGAAAUGCCCAAUCAACUCCCUCUCCUCUACCUAUGCGUACAAGCACCAACCUCCUCUCUUGUUUUUUGCUCUGCCCAUUUGCUUGCCCAAGUUGCUUAUAGUCUUCACUCUUGUGUCUGUCAUGCACUUUUUUCUUUGGCAACAUAUAUAUAUAUAUAUAUAUAUAUAUAUAUCAACACAUAACAAGAAAGCCCAUCAAGGGUUUAGAUCUCAAAGGAGAGAAGAAAGCAGUGAGGGAAUCUGGAUAUUUACCAUUUUUUUGUUUUGUUUUUGAUUUGUGAUCAUUUUGGCAGGAAGUCCCCACACGGUGUCGUUUGAGUUUGAAAUGGAGGAAACCCACUCUUUUCUCAUUGCCCGUGUGUGCUUUGUCAGGGCGGCGGCUGCGGCGGCAGUGGUGGUGGUCGGAAGAGCGGGUGAGAUCGAGAAGGGCUUGAUUAUAUUCGAAGGUGUGGAAGAUGGCAGAAGCGGUGGCUGUCGCUAACUGGAGAGUUGAGACUUUUUUAGCGGAGCAAAUGUUAUUGUUUAGGUUUUGUGAAGGCAGCUGGCCUGCUGCUGGUGGCUGCAGAGACCUCAUUUUCCAACUCGCUCUUUUGUUUACCAUCUACUUCUUUGGCUUCUGAUGGCCGGCGGUGGUGAUGGUGUGCUGCUGCCGCUGGUGGUGGUGGUGGUGGGGGUGUGAUAUUGGCGGGACGGCUCAAUCUCUAUUAUUUUAUAUUUUUUUGUUCUUUUAAUUUCUCUUUUAAUUUUUUGUCCUUUGUUUAAUUUUGAGUAAAGUUCUUUCUAUGGUUGAUGUUUAUAGGGGAGGUGGGUAUGCAAAAGUUCUUCUGUAACUGGUUAGUCCUUAAACCUUCAAAACUCAUUCUAAUGAUAUACUAACUAUUGUCAUUUGGCUUUGCUUA